ACAGUAAACUGAGUGGUCUAAGGCGCCAGAUUUAGGCUCUGGUCCGAAAGGGCGUGGGUUCAAAUCCCACAGCUGUC
rnacentral:tRNA from 1 species